AGCUGUUUUUGGACUACAAUUCCCAUCACCCCUGACCAGUGGUCCUGCUAGCUAGGGAGGGUGGGAGCUGUAGUCCAAAAACAGCU